CGCUUACUCAUGCAUGGAUAUCAAGGAGCAUCCGCUAUCAAGAUGGGCCCGCGUCGCAUUAGCUAGUUGGUGAGGUAACGGCUCACCAAGGCGACGAUGGGUAGCCGACCUGAGAGGGUGAUCGGCCACAUUGGAACUGAGACACGGCCCAGACUCCUACGGGAGGCAGCAGUGGGGAAUAUUGCACAAUGGGGGAAACCCUGAUGCAGCAACGCCGCGUGAGUGAUGAAGGCCUUCGGGUUGUAAAGCUCUGUCUUCAGGGACGAUAAUGACGGUACCUGAGGAGGAAGCCACGGCUAACUACGUGCCAGCAGCCGCGGUAAUACGUAGGUGGCAAGCGUUGUCCGGAUUUACUGGGCGUAAAGGGAGCGUAGGCGGAUAUUUAAGUGGGAUGUGAAAUACCUGGGCUUAACUUGGGUGCUGCAUUCCAAACUGGAUAUCUGGAGUGUUGGAGAGGAAAGUGGAAUUCCUAGUGUAGCGGUGAAAUGCGUAGAAUAAAGGGAAGAUAAAA
rnacentral:rRNA from 1 species